CCCGUGUCUCCUUUGCGUCCUUGGCUCAACCGACAUGGCUGCUGUUUCCUCGUGGAUUCCGCCUUCGCUUCCCGAUUCCGACGGCUACGACGGCCCGGUCCUCCUCGACAGGUGGUGCUACAUCGCCGACCUCCCCAACGAAACCGUCGCCGCAGGCGAAACGAGCACCGGUCUGCGCAUCGAGGGUGGUGGUCACCCGUGAUGGCUGGAAGGCCACAACUUGGAGCAUGCCACUGCGGCCGGUUGUUGGUUCGUCGGAGGGCAGCUGGCACCUUGAUUGCGAGCUUGACAGUAAAAAUGUCACCUUGGAUGCCAGCGACCCAUGCCCUUCUUUCCUGUCUGUGCUGAGCCGCUCCGAGAUCCCUCGAAAGUUGAAGGAACUUCCAAUGGUGUACCCAACCAUAAGUAUGCAUGACGAUGUUGUUUACUUUCUUUCAAGAAGCGAGCCCAGCCACAUGGACAAGUUGGAAGUGGUGUUUGCUAUUGAUACGAGGAAGGGAACGCUGCAAGGACUAGCCGAGCUUGAUGUCCAGAAGGACUACUAUUACAUGCCUGCCUUCUGCACGUACCAGUGAGAUCUGCAGGAAUCUCAGGAACGUUGCAGGCAACAAGUGAAGCAGCAGUUAAACCAAGUGAAAAACAAGAUCUGAGCUGCCUGUGAAAAACUGGUCAGGACAAAUAAUGCCAACCUGUAUUGGCACCUGAGUAGGAAAUGGUUGUUAAAUAAAUUGAUUAGGAAAAUUAUGUAUGAAACAAUUAUCUGGAUUGUGUUGCUUGCAAAU